ACUAUGCCACUACAGCAUGUAGUCGAAUGUCCGAGCGUUCGCUGUUUGAGUGGAACAGAAAGUUUCCGAAGUUUCAAGGGUGAUUUUCUCGAAGGCGCCAGAGUGGUGGCCCCCAAUGUGGGGGUGGUUCUUCAUCUGCUCUUUGUGCUCUUUCGGAUGUCAGAAUGUCGCCGGGGUCCCAGACACAUCGGGUGCGAUGUUCCCUUGUAAGUAGAUUUUUUCAAAUACAGUGGUACCUCGAUUUACGAAUGUUUCGAGAUACGAGCAGUCUCUCUUGCUUCAAGUUGCAAGUUAAAUUUCGG
rnacentral:lncRNA from 1 species